GUCUGUAUGAAGUUAUAUAGAGUCUGACCUGCCCGUUGAAGAAAUUUGAAAGGCCGCGGUAUAUUAACUGUGCAAAGGUAGCAUAAUCAUUAGUUUUUUAAUUGAAAGCUUGUAUGAAGGGUUGGACAAAGAAAAAACUGUCUUUAAUUUUGGGUUUGAAGUUAACUUUUAAGUGAAAAGGCUUAAAUAAAUUUAAGGGACGAUAAGACCCUAUAAAUCUUUAUAUCAGGAUAUUUUCUUAAAAAUUAAUUUUUUUUUGUCUAGAAAAAAGUAAAAUAGAUGAUAUUUUGUUGGGGUGACGAGAAUAUAAUUUUAACUGUUCUUAAAUAAAACAGAGGUAUUUGUUUUAGUUUAAUGGAUCCUUUUUAAAGAUUAAGAGAUUAAGUUACUUUAGGGAUAACAGCGUUAUUUUUUUUGAGAGUUCUUAUCGAAAAAAAAGUUUGCGACCUCGAUGUUGAAUUAAAAUUUCUCUACGGUGCAGAAGUUGUGGUGAGAAAGUCUGUUCGACUUUUAAAAUUUU
rnacentral:rRNA from 1 species